UCAGAUUUUUGGUAAUUUCGAAUUAUUAUUUUCCAAAGAUGAACCAUAAUCUUGACUUGGGAUUAAGCUAGGAUAUGGGUCAUCUAAACAAUAGAUGCAUAAUUCUACCUUCACCAAACCAAAAUUCUUGGAAAACUCCCUUAAGAACAGGUGAAGCUCGAAGUUACCAUCCUGGUCCUCUUUAAUUGAUAGCUCCAAAUAUCUCUCGACCUGGGGGCAUCGAAGAAGACGACCGAGAAGGUGGGUGUUGGGGGCCCGCCGUGGUAGGGGGUGAAUGGUGAAAGAAAGCAGAAAGGAAACAAAAUCUUACAUUAAAACCUAUGAAAUCUUUAAGGAACACUAAAUAAAAGAAUCGUAUGAAGAAAUUAUCAAUUUUUUUUGUCAAGAAAGUGGAAAAGGAAGAGUGAAAUUGAGCCCUAGAUCAAGGAAGAAAAUGGCAAUAAGAUUAUAUAGACGUAGUGGGUCGUUCAAUUUUAUCGGGUGUCUCCGAAGAGAUAUAGAUGUAGACUGGAAUUGAGAAGAGCUAGGGUUUGAUAGGUUACCUGCUUCCAAGAAGAGAGAAACUCCUAAGCUUUUGAGAGGACUCCAAUUUGGGUGUAACGACAGCCACCAUGGAUGGAUUUGAGAAAAAGAAGCAAGGGAGAAAGCGACAACAAGAAAGCAGGAAGAGGCUACGGAAU
rnacentral:lncRNA from 1 species